GAUGAAGAACGUAGCGAAAUGCGAUACUUGGUGUGAAUUGCAGAAUCCCGUGAACCAUCGAGUCUUUGAACGCAAGUUGCGCCCGAAGCCAUUAGGCCGAGGGCACGCCUGCCUGGGCGUCACACGUCGUUGCCCCCCCAUCUACUCCUUCGGGAUUGCGGGGGGCGGAUGAUGGCCUCCCGUGCGCCUCGUCGCGCGGUUGGCAUAAAUGCCAAGUCCUCGGCGACGCACGCCACGACAAUCGGUGGUUGCGAAACCUCGGUUGCCCGUCGUGUGCGGUCGUCGCGCAUCGAGGGCUCGAAAAAAUUGCCGGGCUCCGACUCGGCUUUCAACGCGACCCCAGGUCAGGCGGGGUUACCCGCUGAAUUUAAGCAUAUCAAAAGCGGAGGA
rnacentral:misc_RNA from 1 species